rnacentral:rRNA from 1 species
GGACAGGGAGACAGGUGGUGCAUGGUUGUCGUCAGCUCGUGUCGUGAGAUGUUGGGUUAAGUCCCGCAACGAGCGCAACCCCUGUGGUUAGUUGCCAGCAAGUAGCGUUGGGCACUCUAGCCAGACUGCCGGUGAUAAAUCGGAGGAAGGUGGGGACGACGUCAAAUCAUCAUGCCCUUUAUGUCCUGGGCUACACACGUACUACAAUGGCCGUUACAACGGGAAGCGAAGGAGCAAUCCGGAGCAAAUCCCUUAAAGGCGGUCCCAGUUCAGAUUGUGGGCUGAAACUCGCCCACAUGAAGGCGGAAUUGCUAGUAAUUGCAGAUCAGCAUGCUGCAGUGAAUACGUUCCCGGGCCUU